rnacentral:lncRNA from 1 species
AAUGCUGACUAAAAGGAAAAUUCAGUUUAGGGCUUAAAACCCUAAUGCUGACUGAAAGGAAAAAUUCAGUUUAGGGUUUAAAACCCUAAUGCUGACUGAAAGGAAAAUUCAGUUUAGGAUUUAAAACCCUAAUGCCGACUGGAAGGAAAAGCUCAGUUUGGGGUUUAAAACCCUAAUGCUGGCUGAAUAGGAAAAAGUUCAGUUUAGGGUUUAAAACCCUAAUGUUGACUAAAGGAAAAAUUCAGUUUAGGGUUUAAAACCCUAAUGCUGAUCGCAUGGAAAAGCUCAGUUUAGGGUUUAAAACCCUAAUGCUGGCUGAAUGGAAAAAAGUUCAGUUUAGGGUUUAAAACCCUAAUGCUGACUAAAGGAAAAAUUCAGUUUAGGGUUUAAAACCCUAAUGUUGAUCGCAUGGAAAAGCUCAGUUUAGGGUUUAAAACCCUAAUGCUGGCUGAAUGGAAAAAAGUUCAGUUUAGGGUUUAAAACCCUAAUGCUGACUGGAAAGAAAAGCUCAGUUUGGGGUUUAAAACUCUAAUGCUGGCUAAAGGAAAAAUUCAGUUUAGGGUUUAAAACCCUAAUGUUGAUCGCAUGGAAAAGCUCAGUUUAGGGUUUAAAACCCUAAUGCUGGCUGAAUGGAAAAGUUCAGUUUAAGGUUUAAAACUCUAAUGCUGACUGCAUGGAAAAGCUCAGUUUAGGGUUUAAAACCCUAAUGCCGACUAAAGGAAAAAUUCAGUUUAGGGUUUAAAACCCUAAUGCUGACUGAAAGGAAAAAUUCAGUUUAGGGUUUAAAACCCUAAUGCUGACUGAAAGGAAAA